rnacentral:lncRNA from 1 species
UGAUCUCACCUUGUUCACAACGUGGAAUUGGAAUGAAGCAGAAAGAAUAAAACCUCUGUUCAAUGAAAAUAAAUGAGGGUGGUCCCAAAAUCUGUCAAAAGCAAGAAUGGUGUUUUGGAGAAGGAAGGAGGUAGGACUAUGUCCAUGUUUAAGGCAAUGUGAAACAAGAUGAGAAAGGGCGGCUGCAGCACAUGCAAGAUUUGGGGAGAAGAAAUCAAAAGUUGAACUUGGAGCACACAGUGGAUGGCAAUCACCAGGAACAUUUAUGAAAUGAGAACUCCAUCAUUUACUCUGGAUCUUUAAGGCUGUCUCCUGUGCUAUAAGCAGUAAUGAAGAAUUGU